UGCAGUCGAACGGCAGCACGGGCUUCGGCCUGGUGGCGAGUGGCGAACGGGUGAGUAAUACAUCGGAACGUACCCAGAAGUGGGGGAUAACGCAGCGAAAGUUGCGCUAAUACCGCAUACGUUCUACGGAAGAAAGUGGGGGAUCUUCGGACCUCAUGCUUUUGGAGCGGCCGAUGUCUGAUUAGCUAGUAGGUAGGGUAAAGGCCUACCUAGGCGACGAUCAGUAGCUGGUCUGAGAGGACGACCAGCCACACUGGAACUGAGACACGGUCCAGACUCCUACGGGAGGCAGCAGUGGGGAAUUUUGGACAAUGGGCGCAAGCCUGAUCCAGCAAUGCCGCGUGAGUGAAGAAGGCCUUCGGGUUGUAAAGCUCUUUUGUCAGGGAAGAAACGGUUCCGGCUAAUAUCUGGGGCUAAUGACGGUACCUGAAGAAUAAGCACCGGCUAACUACGUGCCAGCAGCCGCGGUAAUACGUAGGGUGCAAGCGUUAAUCGGAAUUACUGGGCGUAAAGCGUGCGCCGGCGGUUUUGUAAGUCUGUCGUGAAAGCCCCGGGCUCAACCUGGGAAUUGCGAUGGAGACUGCAAGGCUUGAAUCUGGCAGAGGGGGGUAGAAUUCCACGUGUAGCAGUGAAAUGCGUAGAGAUGUGGAGGAACACCGAUGGCGAAGGCAGCCCCCUGGGUCAAGAUUGACGCUCAUGCACGAAAGCGUGGGGAGCAAACAGGAUUAGAUACCCUGGUAGUCCACGCCCUAAACGAUGUCUACUAGUUGUCGGGUUUUAAUUAACUUGGUAACGCAGCUAACGCGUGAAGUAGACCGCCUGGGGAGUACGGUCGCAAGAUUAAAACUCAAAGGA
rnacentral:rRNA from 1 species